rnacentral:rRNA from 1 species
AACGAACGCUGGCGGCAUGCCUAACACAUGCAAGUCGAACGAAGCCUUCGGGCUUAGUGGCGCACGGGUGCGUAACGCGUGGGAAUCUGCCCUUGGGUUCGGAAUAACAGUUAGAAAUGACUGCUAAUACCGGCUGAUGUCUUCGGACCAAAGAUUUAUCGCCCAAGGAUGAGCCCGCGUCGGAUUAGCUAGUUGGUGAGGUAAAGGCUCACCAAGGCGACGAUCCGUAGCUGGUCUGAGAGGAUGAUCAGCAAAACUGGGACUGAGACACGGCCAGACGCCGACGGGAGGCAGGAGUGGGGAAUAUUGGACAAUGGGCGAAAGCCUGAUCCAGCAAGGCCGCGUGAGUGAUGAAGGCCUUAGGGUUGUAAAGCUCUUUUACCCGGGAUGUUAAUGACAGUACUUGAGGAGGAAGCCCCGGCUAACUACGUGCCAGCAGCCGCCGUAAGAC